AAAAAAUUAGGGGGGUCGGCCUAUUCCAGGGCUUCUAGAGAAAAAUAAUGAGGGGUGUCACGGGGAAUAACUAUAUAGGUCUUGUAGAGAAGAAACAGGCGCUUCUUUUGCGCUAGGUAUCGAAGGGUGCCAUGUUCAAAAAUCUGAAACUAGAGCUCAAAAUUUGAAAAAAAAUGUCAAAAAAUUAGGGGGUCGGCCUAUUCUAGGACUUCUAGAGAAAAAUAAUGAGGGGUGUCACGGGG
rnacentral:lncRNA from 1 species